AGUGAACGCUGGCGGUAGGCCUAACACAUGCAAGUCGAACGGCAGCACAGUAAGAGCUUGCUCUUACGGGUGGCGAGUGGCGGACGGGUGAGGCAUACAUCGGAAUCUACUUUUUCGUGGGGGAUAACGUAGGGAAACUUACGCUAAUACCGCAUACGACCUACGGGUGAAAGCAGGGGAUCUUCGGACCUUGCGCGAUUGAAUGAGCCGAUGUCGGAUUAGCUAGUUGGCGGGGUAAAGGCCCACCAAGGCGACGAUCCGUAGCUGGUCUGAGAGGAUGAUCAGCCACACUGGAACUGAGACACGGUCCAGACUCCUACGGGAGGCAGCAGUGGGGAAUAUUGGACAAUGGGCGCAAGCCUGAUCCAGCCAUACCGCGUGGGUGAAGAAGGUCUUCGGGUUGUAAAGCCCUUUUGUUGGGAAAGAAAAGCAGCAGGUUAAUACCCCGCUGUUCUGACGGUACCCAAAGAAUAAGCACCGGCUAACUUCGUG
rnacentral:rRNA from 1 species